GCCUUCGUAGUGUAGUGGUCAGCACGCUCGACGCGAAACCGAGAGGUCCGUCGUUCGAUUCCAAGCGAAAGCG
rnacentral:tRNA from 1 species